rnacentral:tRNA from 1 species
CGGACCAUAGCUCAGUUGGUAGAGCACGGCACUUUUAAUGCUGGGGUCGAGGGUCCGAGUCCCUCUGGUCCGACCA